rnacentral:rRNA from 1 species
CCUACGGGAGGCAGCAGUAGGGAAUCUUCCGCAAUGGACGAAAGUCUGACGGAGCAACGCCGCGUGAGCGAUGAAGGCCUUCGGGUCGUAAAGCUCUGUUGUCAGGGAAGAACAAGUACCGGAGUAACUGCCGGUACCUUGACGGUACCUGACCAGAAAGCCACGGCUAACUACGUGCCAGCAGCCGCGGUAAUACGUAGGUGGCAAGCGUUGUCCGGAAUUAUUGGGCGUAAAGCGCGCGCAGGCGGUUCCUUAAGUCUGAUGUGAAAGCCCCCGGCUCAACCGGGGAGGGUCAUUGGAAACUGGGGAACUUGAGUGCAGAAGAGGAGAGCGGAAUUCCACGUGUAGCGGUGAAAUGCGUAGAGAUGUGGAGAACACCAGUGGCGAAGGCGGCUCUCUGGUCUGUAACUGACGCUGAGGCGCGAAAGCGUGGGGAGCGAACAGGAUUAGAUACCCUGGUAGUCCACGCCGUAAACGAUGAGUGCUAAGUGUUAGAGGGUUUCCGCCCUUUAGUGCUGCAGCAAACGCAUUAAGCACUCCGCCUGGGGAGUACGGCCGCAAGGCUGAAACUCAAAGGAAUUGACGG